rnacentral:rRNA from 1 species
AUUUGGCAGGCGAAAAUCCCUUUAAAAAUUCAAAUUUUCAUGUGGCAAACCUUUCAAGAUGCUAUCUUGAAUAGAGAUGUCAUGAGUAGAAGACGAUGGGCUGGCAACCCUAAAUGUUCCUUCUGUUGGAACAGAGAGACUUCGAAACACCUGUUCUUCACGUGUCUUGUGGCCAGGGUGGUCUGGAGGACGGUGGGUUGUGUUCUGGGUACGGACACUUGUUCGAACAAUAUAUGGCAAUAUUUCUCGUGGUGCUAUGUUUUCCUUCCUGAUGGGGAAAGUUUUACACAUUUGUGCUAG